CCUGCAGCCGGCAGAAACGUCUGCUGAGGAAGACACUGCAAAGUGUCAGCAAGGGCGUCUGGGAAUUAAUUUUACCCCAGAGUAGCUGUGCAGGUCUGUUGAGCCCCCACCUCUUCAGCUAUGAACACCAGAUAACACUAGAAUCAGCCUGAUGCCUCGAACACCUCAUAUGAAGGGGUUUUCAAAAUCUAGCCACAAACAUAUGACCAGAUUUGAAAAGAUUUUGAGAUGAGGAAGGACUCUAUUCUGACAAAGCCUCACACAGGAGAGAGAAACAAAGUGGCCCCUUCAACUGCAACUCUGGGCCAUACUUUUGGCCUAAAUGGACACUCAGCAUUUAAUAGCCCUCAGAGAUGGCACUGAAAUGGGCCCUCCACCUGUUCCCAGAGCCUUCUUGGAUUCUACUAUCAGCCAUUCUGCAGAGAAAAGGUUUUAUAAGUACCCUACCCUCAAUAUAAAAGUUAAGUCUUGUAGCUGAGAAGUCACAGAUUUAACCCCCACUUAGCUUUCCACCCUCCUCCUCCUCAAGGCCACCCCUACACAGCCUCACUUGUCUCAUUUGUGUAUAUGUCAAUCUCCCCACUGGAUUCCAACCUCAUUUGAAAACAAGGACUAUAUGUCUCUUUCAUCUUGAAGAGGCUUCCAGCACUGUCUAUUCAAUAAUUUGCACACAAUAAACCUAAAUACACAUUUUAAAAUAAAUUGAUUAAUACAUUUAAA